rnacentral:lncRNA from 1 species
ACUGGGGAGCUGAUACCUGGGGUUCCGUUGAUAUCCCUGUCAUUGGCAAGUCUAGAAGACUACACUCCUGUAACAGCAUUUUUCCUGAGAGCUGUUAUUCACAUGUUAGUAACAGCUGCAGUAAACAAGGGGAUUUACGGUGAAGCAGAAACACUGACAGUAUGCAUGUGCUUGUAUCAGGCAAGUCUAGUGUAUUGAUCCUACAGCUAUAAUAAGGCAUGACUUUGUUGAGACCAAUGAAGAUAACUCUUCAAUAACCAUAAUUCCACUGGCCUGCACGUUACAUCAAUUCCCUUCUCAAGCAUCAGUUGCAGGAAGCAGACAAACUUGGGCAAAUGGUCACCAAAGUGGCUCCACUGAGUUUCCCUUGAACGUCUCUGAGGCUGGAUGUAAUAGCAACCACAGGAGACAGAUGCCUGAGAGUGUCAGUGGUUCCCAAGGGAUGCAGAUGUACUGCUAAGGACAGCAGAAGCCUCCUGAAGUCUUAGAAACUCAAGAGCCGGAUUAGGUCUGUCUCCCUCAAAGCGAGUGAAGAAGUCAAAGAGGAGAAAUUGUAAUUCCUAUCGUUAAAUCCUUCCCAAGAAAGGAGCAGCAGUUUAACAGUAAGCAAGAGAGGUGUGGAAGCAAGCAAGUGCCCGUUUCAGUUUGUAUGCAGUGGAAAGCUACCAGCCCUUAACUCAGUAAUGUCUGACAAAGAAGCUGCUAUAAUGAUUGUUUAAAAGCAAAGCAAAUCUUUACAUUCACGCUUUCUCCUCCUGCAAGGCUCCAAAUCCCUAGUAGAUUUAUGAGAUUACAUCCCUUUUUCAUGCGUCUCUUUUACCAUGUGCCUUAUAUGCAUUAAAACCAACAAAUGCUGUAGAAGUAUUAGUAAGUGUUAUACAAAAAUAAACUUUUUGCCUUCUACCUAUACCA